rnacentral:rRNA from 1 species
CCUACGGGAGGCAGCAGUGGGGGAUAUUGCACAAUGGGGGGAACCCUGAUGCAGCGACGCCGCGUGGGUGAAGGAGUGCUUCGGCAUGUAAAGCCCUAUCGGCAGGGAAGAAGCAAGACGGUACCUGACUAAGAAGCCCCGGCUAACUACGUGCCAGCAGCCGCGGUAAUACGGAGGGGGCGAGCGUUAUCCGGAUUCACUGGGUGUAAAGGGAGCGUAGACGGCCAUGCAAGCCAGGGGUGAAAGCCCGGGGCCCAACCCCGGGACUGCCCUUGGAACUGUGCGGCUAGAGUGCGGGAGGGGCAGGCGGUAUUCCUGGUGUAGCGGUGAAAUGCGUCGAUAUCAGGAGGCACACCGGCGGCGAAGGCGGCCUGCUGGACUGCGACUGACGUUGCGGCUCGAAAGCGUGGGGAGCGAACAGGAUUAGCUACCCGGGUAGUC